GAUGAAGAACGUAGCGAAAUGCGAUACUUGGUGUGAAUUGCAGAAUCCCGUGCACCAUCGAGUCUUUGAACGCAAGUUGCGCCUCAAGCCAUUAGGUUGAGGGCACGUCUGCCUGGGCGUCACAUAUCGUUGCCUGAUGCCAGUUUCCUCGUGAUGGGUGACUGUGCAGGGCGAAUGAUGGCUUCCCGUGAGCAUUGUUGCCUCAUGGUUGGUUGAAAAUUGAGUCCUUGGUAGGGAGCGCCGUGAUAGAUGGUGGUUGAGUGACGAACGAGACCCAAUCAUGUGAGACCCCUACCGAAUUUGGCCUUCAUGACCCACAUGCGUCUUUGGAACGCUCAUGACGAGACCUCAGGUCAGGCGGGGCUACCCGCUGAGUUCAAGCAUAUCAAUAAGCGGAGGA
rnacentral:misc_RNA from 1 species